AUUGAACGCUGGCGGAAUGCUUUACACAUGCAAGUCGAGCGGCAGCGCGGCCUUCGGGCUGGCGGCGAGCGGCGAACGGGUGAGUAAUGCAUCGGAACAUGCCCAGUCGUGGGGGAUAACACUUCGAAAGAAGUGCUAAUACCGCAUACGUCCUGAGGGGGAAAGCGGGGGAUCGCAAGACCUCGCGCGAUUGGAGUGGCCGAUGUCAGAUUAGCUAGUUGGUGGGGUAAAGGCCUACCAAGGCGACGAUCUGUAGCUGGUCUGAGAGGAUGAUCAGCCACACUGGAACUGAGACACGGCCCAGACUCCUACGGGAGGCAGCAGUGGGGAAUUUUGGACAAUGGGGGCAACCCUGAUCCAGCCAUUCCGCGUGAGUGAAGAAGGCCUUCGGGUUGUAAAGCUCUUUCGGCAGGAACGAAACGGUGGGCUCUAACAUAGUCCGCUAAUGACGGUACCUGAAGAAGAAGCACCGGCUAACUACGUG
rnacentral:rRNA from 1 species